rnacentral:rRNA from 1 species
GACAGGGGGUGCAAACGUUGUUCGGAAUUACUGGGCGUAAAGCGCACGUAGGCGGAUCGUUAAGUCGGGGGUGAAAUCCUGGAGCUCAACUCCAGAACUGCCUUCGAUACUGGCGAUCUUGAGUCCGGAAGAGGUGUGUGGAACUCCUAGUGUAGAGGUGGAAUUCGUAGAUAUUAGGAAGAACACCAGUGGCGAAGGCGGCUCACUGGCCCGGUACUGACGCUGAGGUGCGAAAGCGUGGGGAGCAAACAGG